CUCUUUUCUUACCGCACAUGCAUGGUUCGUCUUCAAAUAUUCAAUAAAUGCUCUAUUCAUAACCGAUCAAUUUCAUAUGUUUGAAGACAAAAUUAUUCACUACAAACCAACAAAUUUCAAGGUUUUAACGAUGAUGAUGAUGAUGAUGAUGAUGAUGAUGAUGAUGAUGAUGAUGAUGAUGAUGAUGAUGAUGAUGAUGAUGAUGAUGAUGAUGAUGAUGAUGAUGAUGAUGAUGAUGAUGAUGAUGAUGAUGACAUUGUUGGUAGUGUUACUACUAGGGGUGGACAUCGGUUGGGUUGGAUCGGUUUUCGGGCCCAAAUUCCCAAUCCGACCUAACCAUCGGUUGGAAAAAACAUAACCAAAACCGACCGGUUUGCAAUUCGGUUAUUUUUUGUUUCGGUUUUGUUCGGUUCGGUUUCAUAAUGCGGUUUAUUCGGUUUUAAAAAUAAUUGAGCUCAUUCCAAAAUAAAUCCAACACAAGUGGAUUUUAUCUAGGAUUUAAAUAGCACAAUUUUAUACUAGUCUUUAAACUUUUAGUUUACUUAUGAACAAAAAAAUAAAACAAUAUAUCUUAAAACUUAUGAAAUUGCUGCAUUUUUCGGAAAUGGAUUGAACAAUCAUUGUUAACAUUUGUAUUCUAAAUUUCUACUCAUAUUAUAUCUAUCUUGCUGACAUGGAUACAGGGCCGUUCAAUGUAACAAAUGUCUUUGAGUUCCAUAAUGGACGGUGGUAUAUGGUUCAUCAUCACAGUUCUGUGAUGAAUGGGGAUGUAGAGCAACAAAUUAUGCAUGGAUAGUAAUAGUAAGAGAGAUGAUAUGUUAUUAUGUCUGAUACUGGUCUCAGAAAAGGAAAUUGCAAUGGGGCCAAAAAAGUGUGAAAAAUAGAUUAAGUGGAUUAAAGUAAAUACAAAAGAUCGAUGGAAAAGAUUACAUGUGAAUCAACGUCCAAUACAUCGGUGAGACUUGUGAAAAACCAAGGCUGUGCAGUUGCAGGAGUUACUAAUUCAAAAGUAUAGUCCAAUUUUGGCGUGCAUUUUAGUUCUCUAGCAGUGUGUGCAUUUUUCAAUAUUGUAAGAGACAAGUCCAUUCCGGCAAUGCAAUAUCCAAUCAACCUUCAAUGCAAUAUCCAAUCAACCUUACCUAUAGAUGAUCAUCAAUCAACAAUCGUAUAUAUAAGAGCUAGUGCAUAACAAUUUCUAUAACAAAAGAUAAAAUCAAAUCAAAUUCUUUUCAUAAGCUAUUACCAAGUUCAAGUGAUGAACACGCGUUAACACCUUAAGCUCGGCAAAAAAUUCUUUUGAUGCUUUCA